rnacentral:tRNA from 8 species
GGAGAGAUGGCCGAGUGGUUGAUGGCACCGCACUCGAAAUGCGGAGACGGGGAAACCUGUUCGGGGGUUCGAAUCCCUCUCUCUCCGCCA